rnacentral:rRNA from 1 species
GACAGAGGAGCCAAGCGUUGUCCGGAUUGACUGGGCGUAAAGCGCACGCAGGCGGCCGUGCACGUGGGGUGUGAAAGCGCUCGGCUUAACUGAGCGAUGCCACCUCAUACGGCAGGGCUCGAGCCCGUGAGAGGUCCACGGAAUUGCCGGUGUAGUGGUGAAAUGCGUAGAGAUCGGCAGGAACACCCAGGGGGAAACCAGUGGACUGGCACGGUGCUGACGCUCAGGUGCGAAAGCGUGGGGAGCGAACCGG